rnacentral:rRNA from 1 species
UACGAGGGGGGCAAAUGUUGUUCGGAUUUACUGGGCGUAAAGAGCGCGCAGGCGGUCGUCCAAGUCGCGUGUGAAAGCCCCCGGCUCAACUGGGGAGGGUCAUUCGAUACUGAUCGACUCGAAGGCAGGAGAGGGAAGUGGAAUUCCCGGUGUAGUGGUGAAAUGCGUAGAUAUCGGGAGGAACACCAGUGGCGAAGGCGACUUCCUGGCCUGUUCUUGACGCUGAGGCGCGAAAGCUAGGGGAGCAAACGGG